UACUUAUAUGUAGACAAAUCAAAAUGUCGGUCUACAUAAAAUGUUUUAUUUUUCUCAUCAUUUUUAUGGAAUUUGAUUUUUCAUCGCAGCAGGAUGUUAGUUGUGACAUACAUGACCGAACUAACUCUUGCCCAGAUGGGUUUUGUUGCGUCAGAGACCAGUUUCUUCCCCAAUAUGUGUACUGUAAGAAAAUAGGUCAACCAGGAUCUCAUUGUCGACACGUCCAAGAUGAAUCUGUGUGUAACUGUGACGUUGGACUGACGUGUGUUCCAAACUUAGACGUUCCUACUUUUGUCUCUAUUUAUGGCACGUGUCAUAAUUUAACAAAACCAACAUAAUUAUGAUUAAGAUCCUCCAAUUUCUAUAUAUAAAUACUUAAAAUUAUCGUGUCCCAAUGCAUUUCACAGGAUGACGCAAGAACCAUCAUGUUGUCGAACUAAUAGGACUUCGGACUAAGAGAUGUUCGGGCUUAUUAGAAUGAGGGAUAUUUUGGACCAUCAUCUAUUUAUUUACUGACUGGCAAAAUAGAUAAGUCGAUUAACGAAGAUUCAUAAAUUGUCACAAUGACUGAGUUUAUAAUAAUAGUAAAGUAUUAAUAAAUAAUAUACAUGUAUACAAUUUGAAGCACCGCAUGGUUUACACAAAACUCAAAAGAGACAAAAAUAGUAUGAAUAUAUAGCACUACAUGAAUACACAUUAAAGCACUACAUGAAUACACAUUAAAGCACUAUAACAUAUAUAAUACACAUUAAAGCAUUAUUACAUGAAUACACUUUAAAACACUAUUGCAUGUGUAAUCUUUACAGACAACAAUUUGAAGCUUAUUAUUUCUACAUAACAUUAUAUUUACAUUAUUUGAAAAUGAGAAAAAAAAUAUUUAAAAAAUCUACAAACUACAAAUGGCCUGUUGUUUGUCG